AGUUUGAUCCUGGCUCAGGAUGAACGCUAGCGGCAGGCUUAACACAUGCAAGUCGAGGGGUAUAGUUCUUCGGAACUAGAGACCGGCGCACGGGUGCGUAACGCGUAUGCAAUCUACCUUUCACAAAGGGAUAGCCCAGAGAAAUUUGGAUUAAUACCUUAUAGUAAUACGACUUGGCAUCAAGAUGUAUUUAAAGAUUUAUCGCCCAAGGAUGAGCCCGCGUAGGAUUAGCUAGUUGGUGAGGUAAAGGCUCACCAAGGCGACGAUCCUUAGCUGGUCUGAGAGGAUGAUCAGCCACACUGGGACUGAGACACGGCCCAGACUCCUACGGGAGGCAGCAGUGGGGAAUAUUGGACAAUGGGCGAAAGCCUGAUCCAGCAAUGCCGCGUGAGUGAUGAAGGCCUUAGGGUUGUAAAGCUCUUUUGCCCGGGAUGAUAAUGACAGUACCGGGAGAAUAAGCUCCGGCUAACUCCGUG
rnacentral:rRNA from 1 species